rnacentral:rRNA from 1 species
UGGGGGGGUACGACGGCAGGUGAUUAGAGUUUGAUCAUGGCUCAGGAUGAACGCUAGCGACAGGCUUAACACAUGCAAGUCGAGGGGCAGCGGGCGAGUGGCAACACUUGCUGUCGGCGACCGGCGCACUGGUGAGUAACACGUAUGCAACCUGCCCCCUUCUGGGAGAUAACCCAUAGAAAUGUGGCCUAAUAUCCCAUAGUCGGUCCAGCCGCAUGGCCGGGCCGGGAAAGGCGAGCCGGAAGGGGAUGGGCAUGCGGCGCAUUAGCUAGUUGGCGGGGCAGAGGCCCACCAAGGCGACGAUGCGUAGGGGUUCUGAGAGGAAGGUCCCCCACAUUGGUACUGAGACACGGACCAAACUCCUACGGGAGGCAGCAGUGAGGAAUAUUGGUCAAUGGGCGGGAGCCUGAACCAGCCAAGUCGCGUGAGGGAGGAAGGUCCUACGGAUUGUAAACCUCUUUAGCCGGGGAGCAACGUGCGCCACGCGUGGCGCAGUGAGAGUACCCGGAGAAUAAGCAUCGGCUAACUCCGUGCCAGCAGCCGCGGUAAUACGGAGGAUGCGAGCGUUAUCCGGAUUUAUUGGGUUUAAAGGGUGCGCAGGCGGCGCGAAAAGUCAGCGGUCAAAGUUCCGGGCUCAACCCGGUGACGCCGUUGAAACUUUCGUGCUGGAGUUCGUGCGAGGGAGGCGGAAUGCGUUGUGUAGCGGUGAAAUGCAUAGAUAUGACGCAGAACCCCGAUUGCGAAGGCAGCUUUCCAGCACGCGACUGACGCUGAGGCACGAAAGCGUGGGGAGCGAGCACGAUUAGAUACCCUGGUAGUCCACGCGGUAAACGAUGAAUACUAGCCCUGCGGCGCGAUUGGGUGCUGCGGGGGAGAGUGAAAACGUUAAGUAUUCCACCUGGGGAGUACGCCGGCAACGGUGAAACUCAAAGGAAUUGACGGGGCCCGCACAGCGGAGGACAUGUGGUUUAAUUCGAUGAUACGCGAGGACCUUACUCGGGCUCAAACGGCGGGAGACGCGUCUGAAACGGGCGUUCCCUUCGGGCUGCCGCCAAGUGCUGCAUGAUUGUCGUCAGCCUCUGCCUGAGGGUGGUCGGCCUAUGCUUAACAAGCGCAACCCCCCAUCCUUCCAUUGCCACGGCAAGUGGCACUCUUGAAGAACUGCCCACCCAACCUGUUGGAAGCCG